UACGUAGGGGGCUAGCGUUGUCCGGAUUUAUUGGGCGUAAAGAGCGUGUAGGCGGCCAGGUAGGUCUGCUGUGAAAACUCGAGGCUCAACCUCGAGACGUCGGCGGAAACCAUCUGGCUAGAGUCCGGAAGAGGAGAGUGGAAUUCCUGGUGUAGCGGUGAAAUGCGCAGAUAUCAGGAAGAACACCCGUGGCGAAGGCGGCUCCUCGUGGGACGG
rnacentral:rRNA from 1 species